UCCCUGUGGGAUUCCUGGGGGGGUCCCUGUGCUCCCUGUGUCAUCCUGGGGGUCCCUGUGCUCCCUCUGGGAUUCCUGGGGGUCCCUGUGCAUUCCUGGGGAUCCCUAUGUAAUCCUGGGGGUCCCUGUGUUCCCUGUGUGUUUCCUGGGGGGUCUCUGUGCUCCCUGUGCCAUCCUGGGGGUCCCUGUGCCCCUGUGUGUUUCCUGGGGGUCCCUGUGUGUUUCCUGGGGUCCCUGUGCUCCCUCUGGGAUUCCUGGGGGUCCCUGUGCAUUCCUGGGGAUCCCUAUGCAAUCCUGGGGGUCCCAGUGUUCCCUGUAGCAUUCCUGGAGGUCCCUGUGCCAUCCUGGGGGUCCCUGUGCAAUCCUGGGGGUCCCUGUGCUCCUUGUGUGUUUCCUGGGGGUCCCUGUGUAGUCCUGGGGGUCCCUGUGCCAUCCGGGGGUCCCUGUGCCCCUGUGUGUUUCCUGGGGGUCCCUGUGCCAUCCCGGGGUCCCUGUGCCCCUGUGUGUUUCCUGGGGGUCCCUGUGUGUUUCCUGGGGGGGGUCUCUGUGCUCCCUGUGGAAUUCCUGGGGGCCCCUGUGCUCCCUGUGCAUUUCCUGGGGGUCCCUGUGCAUUUCCUGGGGGUCCCUGUGCAUUCCUGGGGAUCCCUGUGUGUUUCCUGGGGGUUCCUGUGCAAUCCUGGGGGUCCCUGUGCCCCUGUGUGUUUUCUGGGGGUCCCUGUGCAUUCCUGGGGAUCCCUGUGUGUUUCCUGGGGGUCCCUGUGCCAUUCCUGGGGGUCCCUGUGCUCCCUGUGUGUUUCCCGGGGGGUCCCUGUGCCAUCCUGGGGGUCCCUGUGCCAUCCUGGGGGUCCCUGUGCCCCUGUGUGUUUCCUGGGAGUCCCUGUGCAUUCCUGGGGAUCCCUGUGUGUUUCCUGGGGGUCCCUGUGCAUUCCUGGGAGUCCCUGUGCAAUCCUGGGGAUCCCUGUGCCAUCCUGGGGUCCCUGUGCUCCCUGUGCAUUUCCUGGGGGUCCCUGUGCAUUUCCUGGGGGUCCCUGUGCGUUUCCUGAGGUCCCUGUGCCAUCCCGGGGUCCCUGUGCCAUCCCGGGGGUCCCU
rnacentral:lncRNA from 1 species